GGCGGUGUCUGGUGCCUUCUCUCCCCCCUCUCUCUCUCUCCUGAUGGGGUAGCCAGCGGAUUAGAGUGUAGCGGCGCCGCCACGCUCCUCCUCUGCCUCAUGCUUGCUGGUGGUCUAGUGCCCUCUCUCCCCCGCUCUCUCUCUCUCUCACCGAGGAGGUAGAGGUGGAGUCGUGGAGGCGACGAGGGGACGGAGGCGAGGCAGGCAAAGCGUCGUGCCCUCGGCGUCUAGUCUAGAUCUCGUGCGGGCGCGGGCCGCCGCACGGGGAGAAGAAAGGGACGCCGACAGGCGAGCGGGCAGGGGAGGAGGGUGGGAAGGUAGUCUAGAUCUCGUGCGGGUGCGAGCCGCCACACGGGGGAAGAAAGGGACACCGGCAGGCGAGGGAGGAGGGUUGGAAGGGGACGACGGGCCACCAUGCGGGGGGAGAGAAGACGACGGCCGCGGUAUUGAUCUGAGGAUGCGGCGGCCGCGAUUCGCGGCGCGACAGGCGCGUCCGGAGUUGGCAGAACCGUGCGCCAUGCAAUCGUGCACGCCUACACUAUGUUCAUAAAUAGUAGUAGAGAUAUGCUUUAGACAUACCCCACAUUUAAUAAGGACAUGUUUGGAAAAGGAAGGAAAUCGUGCAAUGUUCACUGUCCAACGUGUACCAGACUGUUCGGUGCGCCCACGGACAGAAGGCGUCCAGGGCCUUCCAAACAAAGAAGAAAUGACUAAAGGACUCCUCUAGGUGCAUAGAGUUGUUACCAAGUAUACUAAGAGCACUCUUAAACUCCGAUUCAAUGCAACCACACACUCAUGCUAUAGAGAAUUGAGUGUUUUCUUAAGAGAAACUCUGUCGUUUUGAUUA